UACAGAGGUCUCAAGCGUUGUUCGGAUUCAUUGGGCGUAAAGGGUGCGUAGGCGGCGCGGUAAGUCGGGUGUGAAAACUCGGAGCUCAACUCCGAGCCUGCGUUCGAUACUGGACGGCUAGAGUCUGGUAGGGGGAUCUGGAAUUCCUGGUGUAGCGGUGGAAUGCGCAGAUAUCAGGAGGAACACCGGUGGCGAAGGCGGGAUCCUGGGCCAGUACUGACGCUGAGGAGCGAAAGCGUGGGGAGCAAACAGG
rnacentral:rRNA from 1 species